rnacentral:rRNA from 2 species
AUGGACGAAAGUCUGAUGGAGCAACGCCGCGUGAGUGAAGAAGGGUUUCGGCUCGUAAAACUCUGUUGUUAAAGAAGAACAUAUCUGAGAGUAACUGUUCAGGUAUUGACGGUAUUUAACCAGAAAGCCACGGCUAACUACGUGCCAGCAGCCGCGGUAAUACGUAGGUGGCAAGCGUUGUCCGGAUUUAUUGGGCGUAAAGCGAGCGCAGGCGGUUUUUUAAGUCUGAUGUGAAAGCCUUCGGCUUAACCGAAGAAGUGCAUCGGAAACUGGGAAACUUGAGUGCAGAAGAGGACAGUGGAACUCCAUGUGUAGCGGUGAAAUGCGUAGAUAUAUGGAAGAACACCAGUGGCGAAGGCGGCUGUCUGGUCUGUAACUGACGCUGAGGCUCGAAAGUAUGGGUAGCAAACAGGAUUAGAUACCCUGGUAGUCCAUACCGUAAACGAUGAAUGCUAAGUGUUGGAGGGUUUCCGCCCUUCAGUGCUGCAGCUAACGCAUUAAGCAUUCCGCCUGGGGAGUACGGCCGCAAGGCUGAAACUCAAAGGAAUUGACGGGGGCCCGCACAAGCGGUGGAGCAUGUGGUUUAAUUCGAAGCUACGCGAAGAACCUUACCAGGUCUUGACAUACUAUGCAAAUCUAAGAGAUUAGACGUUCCCUUCGGGGACAUGGAUACAGGUGGUGCAUGGUUGUCGUCAGCUCGUGUCGUGAGAUGUUGGG